CAGAACCAACUGCCGCUCUGGACACCUUGCAAAUCUAUACGGCGGACUGCCAAUUCCUCCAGAGACGAUAACGUCUCUGCCUCUCUGGACAACUUCUAGGCUCUACGGCGGACUGUCCGCUCACCAAUAGCGGAUCGACGGUGGAGCAAGCUUCAAGCGAUCCCGGCCGGAAGAAGCCGGGCUGGGGGUUGGGGAAGGUGGAGGAGGUGCCGGGGAAGGUUCUCGCACGAGGAAUCGAAGUAUGGUGGCCGGAGGAGGGAGAUCGACGGCGGCGCGAGCGCUCGAGCCUCUGGUCGUCGUGAGGAGGAGAAGAGAAGAUAUGACAGGCGGAUCCCACAACCAGGAUAAAUAUCUGGGCGUUACAAUGGCGGACCGUCCGCCGCUCCCUAGCGGAUUGCCCGCGAGGCUGGAUGUUACAAUUGUCUUAUUAACACUAAUGAAAUCUCCC
rnacentral:lncRNA from 1 species